UUUCUUUCUUCUUUCUUACCCCUAGUAAACUGCUGAGUGCAGAAUUGGUUCUAAGUUGUUUGAAGCUUUUACUUUCUUUACCAGGCUUAACUAACAGGUGAUGCUUAUUCAUGUGUCAUAAUUUCAGAUUUUCCCAUCUUAUUCUAAAAAUGCUGAUGAUUUUAAAAUUUGAUAGGACCAAAAUAAGUUGAGAGGGAAGGGGAAAGAAAUAGAGAGCGGCAGAGAAAGAGAGGCUCCUGGAGCACUUGUUCACUACUUGUGAAGCUUCUCUCCUGCAGGUGGAGACUGGGGGAUUGGACCUGGGUUCAUAUGCAAGGUAAUAUGUAUGUUGAACCUGGUGCACCACUGCCUAGCUCCUAGAUCUCCCCCCUUUUUUUGUUUUUAGAAUCAUCUGGGACACAAAAUAAGUGGCAGGGGGCAGGGAGAGGAAGUGAAAGAACUUUGUUGAAACUUCUGAAGAUGAGCAGAAUAGAUCUGUGUGAGAUUCUUUGAGACAGAGAGUGACAUGGAAAGUAGGGGGUAUGGGGAGCUAUAGUGAGAAGGUUAUUCUUUGUUUCUUCUUCUUCUUCUUCUUCUUCUUCUUCUUCUUCUUCUUCUUCUUCUUCUUCUUCUUCUUCUUCUUCUUCUUCUUCUUCUUCUUCUCCUUCUCCUCCUCCUCCUCCUCCUCCUCCUCCUCCUCCUCCUCCUCCUCCUUCUUCUUCUUUUUAUCAUAACACUGUUCAGUUCUGGCUUAUAGUGGUGUGGGGGAUUGAACCUGGGAUGUUGGAUCCUCAGGCAUGAGAGUAUGUUUGCACAACCAUUAUGCUUUCUACCUUCCACCCAAUCUGGAUGCUUUAAACACCACCCAGGAGUGGUGUACAGGUACUGGUGCCUAGAUCCCCUGAUGAAUUCCUCCAAAUCUGUGGGGCUGGCCCUGGAUGCUGACAUAUUUUUAUGAGGCUGUCCUGUAGAGUCUGACACUCAGUGAGGGCUGGGUCCUUCACCUUUGUGGAGCAUGACUCACUGGAGUUAAAAAACAGAGAGGUUUCCUCUUGCACAAUUGGCCUGAAAGUGUUUUCUCAUGGCAGAUGAAAGGCAGACAGAUAUUUUUGUCCCACCUGCCCUGACUAAGCUUGAUGAGGAAAGGAUAUGUGCUGCUGACAGGCAAAGGAUAGUGGCUGAAGACAGAAGUCACUCUCCUGGGCAGAGGGCAGUGGCCAAAGUUUGUGGAUGGGGGCAGCCUUCCUCUCUUUCAUGUCUUUCAGAAACUACAGAAAGACCCAACCAUGCAAUUAUAUGUGAAAAUCAUUCCCAGCUGACAACUCUCUGAGCCUGGUGUCUGCCCCGAGCUUCUCCUGAGCACAGAGUCCACACUGUGAAUUUGCCUGGAUGCUUUAUCUGUUCCCCUCAAACAAUGGGAGAUCUGGAUUAUCCAUCACAAUGGACAUUUACUUUGGAAACUGCAAAUUGAAUUGGAAGUCAACAAAUAUUUUUUAUGUCUGAGGCAGCUCAGACUAUGAUAUGUGCGUUAAUAAUAAAAUAAUGGAGUACAUAAAUAUGCAAUUUCCAUUUACACAAACUUGGAUGAAAUUGGGCAGUACACUAGAAAUCCAAAAUCUAGAAGAUGCCUAUAAAGAUUAAGGACAGAGAGAAAUGGAGAGAGGAGGGGAAGACAGAGACGGGGAGAGAAAGAUAGAC